UGGGUGAAUACAGAGGUGAGGGUGUUGGUGGGUGAAUACAGAGGUGAGGGUGUUGGUGGGUGAAUACAGAGGUGAGGGUGUUGGUGGGUGAAUACAGAGGUGAGGGUGUUGGUGGGUGAAUACAGAGGUGAGGGUGUUGGUGGGUGAAUACAGAGGUGAGGGUGUUGGUGGGUGAAUACAGAGGUGAGGGUGAGGGUGGGUGAAUACAGAGGUGAGGGUGUUGGUGGGUGAAUACAGAGGUGAGGGUGUUGGUGGGUGAAUACAGAGGUGAGGGUGUUGGUGGGUGAAUACAGAGGUGAGGGUGUUGGUGGGUGAAUACAGAGGUGAGGGUGUUGGUGGGUGAAUACAGAGGUGAGGGUGUUGGUGGGUGAAUACAGAGGUGAGGGUGUUGGUGGGUGAAUACAGAGGUGAGGGUGUUGGUGGGUGAAUACAGAGGUGAGGGUGUUGGUGGGUGAAUACAGAGGUGAGGGUGUUGGUGGGUGAAUACAGAGGUGAGGGUGUUGGUGGGUGAAUACAGAGGUGAGGGUGAGGGUCGCUGAACACACAGGUGGGAGGGAGUAAUGGUGAGUGGUCGGGGCGUAGAGCUGGUGUUCACUUUUCUUUGCCUCUGCAUCAACUAGCGACACGGGUUGAUCUUCCCCUCCACCGCCAUUACCC